rnacentral:rRNA from 1 species
AGUGGCGGAACGGGUGGAGCUAACACGUAGGCAACCUGGCCCAUCAGACUGGGAUAACCACGGGAAACCGCUGGCUAAUACCGGAUAAUCCUUUUCCACACAGGUGGGAAAGUUGAAAGGCGGUCUUUUGGCUGUCACUGAUGGAUGGGCCUGCGGCGCAUUAGCUGGUUGGUGGGGUAACGGCCCACCAAGGCGACGAUGCGUAGCCGACCUGAGAGGGUGAUCGGCCACACUGGGACUGAGACACGGCCCAGACUCCUACGGGAGGCAGCAGUAGGAAUCUUCCGCAAUGGACGAAAGUCUGACGGAGCAACGCCGCGUGAGUGAAGAAGGGUUUCGGCUCGUAAAACUCUGUUGUCAGGGAAGAACGCCGACGGGAGUAACUGCCCGUCGGGUGACGGUACCUGACCAGAAAGCCACGGCUAACUACGUGCCAGCAGCCGCGGUAAUACGUAGGUGGCAAGCGUUAUCCGGAAUUAUUGGGCGUAAAGCGCGCGUAGGCGGUUCGUUAAGUCUGAUGUGAAAGCCCCCGGCUCAACCGGGGAGGGUCAUUGGAAACUGGCGGACUUGAGUGCAGAAGAGGAAGUGGAAUUCCAUGUGUAGCGGUGAAAUGCGCAGAGAUAUGGAUGAACACCAGUGGCGAAGCGGCUCUCUGGUCUGCAACUGACCUGAGGUGCGAAAGCGUGGGAUCAAACAGGAUUAAUACCCUGGUAGUCCACGCCGUAAACGAUGAGUGCUAAUGUUAGGGGGUUUCCGCCCCUUAUGCUGCAGCU